CCUGCAAUGUAGGAAUCUCAAGUAAAGCACCCAUGACAGAUGGCCAUCCAAUCUCUGCUUAAAAACCUCCAAGGAAGGAGAGUCCACAACCUCCUGAGGGAGUCCGCUCUACUGUUGAAAAGCUCUUAUUUUCAAAAAGUCGGAAUCUCCUUUCUUUCUCCAGAGCAGGAAAAAACAAGCUUGCUCCAUCCUCCAUGUGACAGCCCCUAAGAUAUUUGAAGACGGCUAUUAUAUCUCCUCUGUCUCCUCUUUUCCAAGCUAAACAACCCAAAGCCCUCAACUGUUCCUCAUAAGGUAGCCCUCCUCUGCACACGUUUCAGCUUGUCCAUAUCCUCAUUUUCAAUUUCUCGUACUAAUUUCUCAUUUGUCAAGUUCAGUUUGUGAUUUCGUCACGGAAAAUUGUCAGCAUUUUAAGUGUGCACUCCUCCUAAUAUACACAUUCUUGCAAGAAACUUUGCUUAAUAUUAUGCAUCGUUAUAUUAUUAUCACUAAUAUAUGUAUUUUAAUGCACACUUUCCCCUAAUAUAUGCAUUUUGUACAAAUAUUUUGCUUGGAAACUGCAUUGCAAAACUUUUGGUUCAUAUUUUAUUUAGGGUUGGAUUUAAGGAUAUCAAAGAAAAAAUAAUAUGUUUGCUCCAUUUUCCUUGGUAAAGUUUCAUUCAUUUUGUUUUUGUCUCCCCCCCCCCCCCAAGCUGGUUUAUCC